rnacentral:rRNA from 1 species
ACGCGAAGAACCUUACCUGGGUUUGAAAUGCAGGUGUAAGCCUCAGAGAUGAGGUCCCCUCUUCGGAGGUAGCUGCAUAGGUGCUGCAUGGCUGUCGUCAGCUCGUGUCGUGAGAUGUUGGGUUAAGUCCCGCAACGAGCGCAACCCUUGUCCAUAGUUGCUAACGGGUCAAGCCGAGAACUCUAUGGAGACUGCCGGUGAUAAACCGGAGGAAGGUGGGGAUGACGUCAAGUCCUCAUGGCCUUUAUGUCCAGGGCUACACACGUGCUACAAUGGACGGUACAAAGAGUCGCGAAGCCGCGAGGCAGAGCUAAUCUCAAAAAGCCGUUCUCAGUUCGGAUUGCAGUCUGCAACUCGACUGCAUGAAGCUGGAAUCGCUAGUAAUCGCGGAUCAGCACGCCGCGGUGAAUACGUUCCCGGGCCUUGUA